CCCUGGACUCUGGGAUAAGCGCUGGAAACGGCGUCUAAUACUGGAUAUGAGCUCUCAUCGCAUGGUGGGGGUUGGAAAGAUUUUUUGGUCUGGGAUGGGCUCGCGGCCUAUCAGCUUGUUGGUGAGGUAAUGGCUCACCAAGGCGUCGACGGGUAGCCGGCCUGAGAGGGUGACCGGCCACACUGGGACUGAGACACGGCCCAGACUCCUACGGGAGGCAGCAGUGGGGAAUAUUGCACAAUGGGCGGAAGCCUGAUGCAGCAACGCCGCGUGAGGGAUGACGGCCUUCGGGUUGUAAACCUCUUUUAGCAGGGAAGAAGCGAGAGUGACGGUACCUGCAGAAAAAGCGCCGGCUAACUACGUGCCAGCAGCCGCGGUAAUACGUAGGGCGCAAGCGUUAUCCGGAAUUAUUGGGCGUAAAGAGCUCGUAGGCGGUUUGUCGCGUCUGCUGUGAAAUCCCGAGGCUCAACCUCGGGCCUGCAGUGGGUACGGGCAGACUAGAGUGCGGUAGGGGAGAUUGGAAUUCCUGGUGUAGCGGUGGAAUGCGCAGAUAUCAGGAGGAACACCGAUGGCGAAGGCAGAUCUCUGGGCCGUAACUGACGCUGAGGAGCGAAAGGGUGGGGAGCAAACAGGCUUAGAUACCCUGGUAGUCCACCCCGUAAACGUUGGGAACUAGUUGUGGGGACCAUUCCACGGUUUCCGUGACGCAGCUAACGCAUUAAGUUCCCCGCCUGGGGAGUACGGCCGCAAGGCUAAAACUCAAAGGAAUUGACGGGGACCCGCACAAGCGGCGGAGCAUGCGGAUUAAUUCGAUGCAACGCGAAGAACCUUACCAAGGCUUGACAUACACCAGAACACCGUAGAAAUACGGGACUCUUUGGACACUGGUGAACAGGUGGUGCAUGGUUGUCGUCAGCUCGUGUCGUGAGAUGUUGGGUUAAGUCCCGCAACGAGCGCAACCCUCGUUCUAUGUUGCCAGCACGUAAUGGUGGGAACUCAUGGGAUACUGCCGGGGUCAACUCGGAGGAAGGUGGGGAUGACGUCAAAUCAUCAUGCCCCUUAUGUCUUGGGCUUCACGCAUGCUACAAUGGCCGGUACAAAGGGCUGCAAUACCGUGAGGUGGAGCGAAUCCCAAAAAGCCGGUCCCAGUUCGGAUUGAGGUCUGCAACUCGACCUCAUGAAGUCGGAGUCGCUAGUAAUCGCAGAUCAGCAACGCUGCGGUGAAUACGUUCCCGGGUCUUGUACACACCGCCCGUCAAG
rnacentral:rRNA from 1 species